rnacentral:rRNA from 1 species
UACGAAGGGGGCUAGCGUUGCUCGGAAUCACUGGGCGUAAAGGGCGCGUAGGCGGCCGAUCAAGUCGGAGGUGAAAGCCCAGGGCUCAACCCUGGAAUGGCCUUCGGUACUGGUUGGCUCGAGACCGGAAGAGGUCAGUGGAACUGCGAGUGUAGAGGUGAAAUUCGUAGAUAUUCGCAAGAACACCAGUGGCGAAGGCGGCUGACUGGUCCGGUUCUGACGCUGAGGCGCGAAAGCGUGGGGAGCAAACAGG